rnacentral:rRNA from 1 species
UAACGCGUAAGGAACUUGCCUCUUGGUCUGGGACAACUGUUGGAAACGACAGCUAAUACCAGAUAUUAUGAGAUUCUCGCAUGAGAAACUUAUGAAAGCUAUAUGCGCCAAGAGAGAGCCUUGCGUUCCAUUAGCUAGUUGGUGGGGUAACGGCCCACCAAGGCGACGAUGGAUAGCCGGCCUGAGAGGGUGAACGGCCACAAGGGGACUGAGACACGGCCCUUACUCCUACGGGAGGCAGCAGUGGGGAAUAUUGGACAAUGGGCCACAAGCCUGAUCCAGCAAUUCUGUGUGCACGAUGAAGGUCUUCGGAUUGUAAAGUGCUUUCAGUUGGGAAGAAGAAAGUGACGGUACCAACAGAAGAAGCGACGGCUAAAUACGUGCCAGCAGCCGCGGUAAUACGUAUGUCGCAAGCGUUAUCCGGAUUUAUUGGGCGUAAAGCGCGUCUAGGCGGAAAAAUAAGUCUGAUGUUAAAAUGCGGGGCUCAACUCCGUAUUGCGUUGGAAACUGUUUUUCUAGAGUACUGGAGAGGUGGGCGGAACUACAAGUGUAGAGGUGAAAUUCGUAGAUAUUUGUAGGAAUGCCGAUGGAGAAGUCAGCUCACUGGACAGAUACUGACGCUAAAGCGCGAAAGC